rnacentral:rRNA from 1 species
CCUACGGGAGGCAGCAGUGAGGAAUAUUGGUCAAUGGGCGAAAGCCUGAACCAGCCAUGCCGCGUGCAGGAAGACUGCCCUAUGGGUUGUAAACUGCUUUUAUACAGGAAGAAACACUCCCUCGUGAGGGAGCUUGACGGUACUGUAUGAAUAAGCACCGCA